GACGAACGCUGGCGGCGUGCCUAAUACAUGCAAGUAGAACGCUGAAGGAGGAGCUUGCUUCUCUGGAUGAGUUGCGAACGGGUGAGUAACGCGUAGGUAACCUGCCUGGUAGCGGGGGAUAACUAUUGGAAACGAUAGCUAAUACCGCAUAAGAGUAGAUGUUGCAUGACAUUUGCUUAAAAGGUGCAAUUGCAUCACUACCAGAUGGACCUGCGUUGUAUUAGCUAGUUGGUGGGGUAACGGCUCACCAAGGCGACGAUACUUAGCCGACCUGAGAGGGUGAUCGGCCACACUGGGACUGAGACACGGCCCAGACUCCUACGGGAGGCAGCAGUAGGGAAUCUUCGGCAAUGGACGGAAGUCUGACCGAGCAACGCCGCGUGAGUGAAGAAGGUUGUCGGAUCGUAAAGCUCUGUUGUAAGAGAAGAACGAGUGUGAGAGUGGAAAGUUCACACUGUGACGGUAUCUUACCAGAAAGGGACGGCUAACUACGUG
rnacentral:rRNA from 1 species